GCGGAGAUGGCGGAGUGGUCAAUCGCAACAGACUGUAAAUCUGUCGCCCUUCGGGCUUCGCAGGUUCAAAUCCUGCUCUCCGCACCA
rnacentral:tRNA from 1 species